UAACGCGUAGGAACCUGUCGUCUAGUGGGGGAUAACGCCGGGAAACUGGCGCUAAUACCGCAUGAGGUCCCUUGAAGAGAUGAGAGGGAAGAAAGCAUUUAUGCGCUGGAUGAGGGGCCUGCGUCCGAUUAGCUAGUUGGUGUGGUAAGAGCGCACCAAGGCGACGAUCGGUAGCUGGUCUGAGAGGACGGUCAGCCACACUGGGACUGAGACACGGCCCAG
rnacentral:rRNA from 1 species